AUUCUGGUCGUCACGCGGACACUUGGCGUUUCCCUAACCCGAGAGUUAGGAGACACGAGGGCCGGUAUCGUCGGGAAGUCACGCUGUUGUCGCUGGCCUGGGGCUCCCAACGGAGCCGACCUCGUCCCCGAGUUCCCCAGUCCCGUGCCCCCGCCAGCGCCGGCCGACCGGGGAGCUGGGCGAAGCCGCUCCCUGCAGGGGAAGGUUCUGGAGCCGUCCCCGCCCUCCUCGAAGACCAGCCGUGGCCUCUGCUGGGCGGACGCCCCGCUCUGCCUCUUCGGCAGGGGUGGCCAGACCGUAGUGGGGCUGGAGCGCCCAGCAAGCUCCUGAGAGGUCGCAGCGUCCCUUCGCCGGGCGUCCUUGUGUCUGUGAGAAAGGGAGGCGGCUGUCCGGCCCGUGAGGCCGGCGGUUUGUACCCUUCUGGCCUGGGCGAAAACCUCUACAGACCCUAGGAUUGCCGUAGGUCAGCAGUCCCCACUGGAGAAAAAAAUCUUGAAUCUGGGUGGCGUGCAUACAGCAGCGGCAAGACAGCUGAUAACUCAGAAGUACCACGAGGAGUAUGACACACUGUGCAGGGAGCAAGCUCUUUCUCUUGACCACUGGCUGGCCAAAGCGGAGUCUUAUUAUAAUAAGAGAAUAAUGGACAUGAUGAAGGAGCAAGGGAUGGGCCAUGAAGUCAAGAAGAGAUUGGAGGGGAAGACGACCCACAGGCUAGAGAGACCAAAGCAGUAUUACUUGGUUCCGGAGAGAGAGGUGAGACACAUAGAAAGGCACAUUCAGAGAGUGGGUCGGGUCAGAGAGUCUAAGAACAAACCAGGUAAACAAUUACCACGGCCCCCUAGUGAGACAACGUUCCCCAAAAUUGUGCCAGAAGAACAUGGUGUCCUGAGUGCCCAGAGAAGAAAGCAGGUAAGCGAGAGGGAACAGACACAAAUCGAAGGUCACCAGGAACGCAUGCUUCGGGGGAGAGAGCUCACGGAGCAGAGGUGCAAGGAGAGAGUCUUGAGGAAAACCCAGAGCCCGCUGCCGACCCGAGCGUGGCGCGGGAGAUCAGGGAGAGAGAAGAAAGAGCUGGAAAGUGUGACCACGUAUCCCCUUCUCCAGCCGCGCGGUAGAAGCCGGAUUCGAGUGAAUAUCCUUAUGGAAAAGAAUAGAGAAGAAGUGCCUGCCGUCAUAAAACCACAUCAAAGAAAAUUCUUAACCAUGCCACCCUUUCUGAGAAGCCAGAUAGGAAAAAUGAAAGACUAGUCAAGAUUCAGUGCUUUGAGAAUAAAACCCCGUGUCUUCAGUGAA